ACGGGCCGCCAACCCCGGGGCGGAGCGCCCGCCCCUGAGGGCAGGGCGGAGGCGGGCCCGGCCCGGAGCGGGGUUUGACGGGCCGUGGCGAGGGAAGGAGUGGAUGGAUACGGUCAGCCUGGCGACCCCUGGCUCUGCUGGACCUGCCCUGGACUCGGAAUUGCCCGUGUUUUAAGCGGAGCCGCGGGAGUGACCUGGCAGCUCCAUCCGACAUCUUUUUCAGGAGAAGACUUCUUAUCUGUGAGGUUUCUGGUCAACUUUCAGCUGAGAAAAAGGCAGUUUACUCAACUACUCAAAGGUAGUUGUUGGCAUUUGCUGUCAGAUUUCACUGUCAGAUAGUCUGGCAACAGCUUUGUCAUCCAGAUGUUUCUGUCCCUGCCAUUCCUUGCUCAGCCAAAUCUGAGGAAGAAAAAGACAUCUUUGUUCCUUGUCUACCUCUCAUGAAAGAAAUUUCAGCCAUCUUCUGGUCUAAUUCCUGCUCUUCCCCCAGCCUGGAAACAUGUACCACAGCAUCAGAUACCCUCUCCUGAUCUUCCAAAUCCACGACAUCAUACAGACCAAGUCCUCCUCUGCUCCCCUCUGGGGCUCCCUUGAUCAUCCAGCAUCUGCUCUUCCUGUUACCCUAACACAGCCCCUCAGUAAAGAAUUCUUCUCCUCUACAGUUUUCUCACCCAAGCCUCUCUUUGCUCUCCUACUCCCUUCCAGAUCAAAGUAAUUUCUUUCCCUCUGCUUUGCUCAUUGCUCUUCAUCUCUCUUUUUAGAUGCUUGUUCAAUUUGCCAUGGUAAAAUACUUUGAUCAUAUGAUUAAAAGGGAUUGAGCGAA